GUAGGGGGCAAGCGUUAUCCGGAAUUACUGGGUGUAAAGGGUGCGUAGGUGGUAUGGCAAGUCAGAAGUGAAAACCCAGGGCUUAACUCUGGGACUGCUUUUGAAACUGUCAGACUGGAGUGCAGGAGAGGUAAGCGGAAUUCCUAGUGUAGCGGUGAAAUGCGUAGAUAUUAGGAGGAACAUCAGUGGCGAAGGCGGCUUACUGGACUGAAACUGACACUGAGGCACGAAAGCGUGGGGAGCAAACAGGAUUAGAUACCCUGGUAGUCCACGCCCUAAACGAUGAAUACUAGGUGUCGGGGCCGUAGAGGCUUCGGUGCCGCAGCCAACGCAGUAAGUAUUCCACCUGGGGAGUACGUUCGCAAGAAUG
rnacentral:rRNA from 1 species